UUAAAUAAUGAUGAUCACAAGGGACUUAAUACUGAUACAUGAUGUCACCUUAUACUUUCUGAAUUUU